AAACCGCUCUCCCCAAUCCCCAAUCUCUGCCGUGGAGGUCUUUCCCUAGGGGCCGCCGCCUUCCUCUUCCUCCAGAACGCCUGCAGCGCUUCACGUUCGAGCUCGCCGGCAAGAAUUGCAGCAACGGGAGCAGCACACAGGGAGGAGGGGCAGUAGGGCACGCGCGGAAGGCGGGCCGCGGAACGGCAUCGGGGCGGUUGAGGAGCCGGCGCUCUGCUGUGUCGGCGGGAAGCAGCGUGGGAGGACUUUCGAGCUCCCCAAAAUCGUGGUGGCGAUGGCGCCAACGGAGAGAAAUCGGCAAAGGAGGCCAUCGCGGUGCCGGCCAAACAGCAUGUCUCUCUUCCACUUCCUCGGACAACGACGGCGACCAAACGUAGCGCCAGUAAGCCUAUUUCCUUCUGAUUUGAUGUGAUUUUGUUUACUUGGUCAAAGCAGCUCUCGGUAUCUGAGGUGUGUCUUCUCUUUCUGUGUCCUGUCUUCCAAUGACUCUGAUCUCUACCUUACUUCUAAACUCAGCAAACAGUCUACUUUUAGUGUGUGUUUGGUUGAGCUUUUGAAACCAACUUUCAGGUUACCACCGUACAAUCUGAACCAAACAGGUAUUUUAGGCACCAGAUUAUCCAUUUAAUAUGGGUUUCCUAUGCUAUUUAAGUUUCUCUCUAAAUGUCGCCAGUAUGCACAAAUCGGUAAAAAAACGAAGAAAUUAAGCUUUCCAUUAAUUGUCAGCAGUUUUUGUGAACUUAUUUUUCUAGGCUGUGUCACCUUCUGUCUUGCUUAUAGGCUACAUGGUUCUGUCAAAAAAGUUCUGCAAAACUGAAAUAACUUCUGUUUUUUGAGUCAUCUCUUGGUUGCCAAAUAGCUAUCUGCUUUUUGAGUCGCUUUUUAUGAAGCUUUUUUGUGUAAAUUUGGUUGGGGCAACAGAAAAUUACACAGAAUUAAUGUUUUGUUGUUUUCUAUUAGCUCUGAUCUCAUGCCUUACUGCUAAACCGAUCAAACAGUCUACUGUUAAUAUGAACUUUCUAUGCUAUUUAAGUUUCUGUGUAAAUGUUGCCACUUGCCAGUAUACACAAAUCGGUAAAACAAAAAUAUAAGCUUUAUGUGAAUUGUAAGUAGUUUUUGUGAACUUAUUAUUCUAGACUGUAUCACCUUCCGUCUUGCUGAUAUACAAUACAUGGAUCUGCCAAAAAAGUUCUGCAAAAUUGAAAUAACACCUGCUUUUUGAGUAAUCUGUUGUUGCCAAAGAGCUAUCUGAACAUAUCAGAAUUCCCUUCGUAUUGCUUUGUACUUUCACAUGUAUAUAAGGUGAGCAAGCCCAUGGGUUUUCAAAUAUCAUUGAUGAGUUGCAUAAAGAAAGAAGAGGUAUUCACCUCAAUUUAUUUGCCGCACAUACUCUGCUAGGUUAUCUUUGGUCAAGCCAUUAAGGGUUUUUUCCAGCCCUUUUUAGAGGGCAUCUCUUCAGACCCUGUGUCAGGGUUUUCAAUGUCUACAUAUUUUAUUUCGAAAUUUUUAUUCUUUGCAUCCAAACGAGAUGUAAACAAUACCUUAGGCAAAGCAAAGCUAUCAUCUGUAGAUCAAGAAUCUACUGGUUCAGCAUUAACUUGUAAUACUCAUCUUGUAGUGCACCUGGGGGAGUAGCUCCUGUUGGACAGAAGUUACUCUUAAAAGAUAACCAGGUUUCUUUACCAUAGAGAACAUUAGCAAGUCUACCUGAUUCGACACAAAAAAAGCUUCAUAUGAAGAGACUACUCUGACAUUUUUCUUCUUUCUUGGAAUUUCAGAUUACGAUUGUUUUUAUCACAGAUGGUUGUGUUCCUCUUCUGGAUUAAGGAAAGAAGAGGGAGAAGUUGAUGCAUCUCAUCAAGCAAUCAUGCCUACAUCAGGACCAAGUGAACUUCAAGAUUCUCAUGCUGGACAUCAAGAAUUACAUGAAUGUUCAAAUACUGAUGCACAUUGGGUUGUUUCUAAUGAAGACAAAUCACCACCUAUGGUCAGCCAAGCACACAGUUUAGUGGCUGGGCUUAAUUCUGUACCAACUAGGCAACCAGUGAUAUUAUUCCUACUAGUGGUGAUGAGUCAGUGCUUUGUUCGCUUUACCCAGGAUGUAUCAGCAGCUGUUACUUAUCCGGGUUGUAUCCACAGGGUUGUCCCCAAACAUUAAAAAACACGAAAUCAUAACAGUUCUAUUGAGGGUUGGAGUAUGUAUUAGUGAGAUAUUUGUUCUUCUGUGAGUUGUCCGUUAGAAUAUUUGAUUUAACAAUGGUAAUUUCAGUGUAGUUUACUCCUUAGAUAUAUACAUACCAUCAUAUUCUUGCAUGUUACAAUGUCCUAUCUCCUGUAUUCCCACUUCUUCAGCUUACAAUCGCUCCACAUGCGCCAAUUCUCCAUCUGGAAUUUGGAAGUGUGCAUUUUUGUUCCAAAAGUUUGGAAGCAUCAUUUCCUGACUUCCAAUGCAGCACAUCAAUUAGUUUUAUUGCCAUCACAAUCAUGUUAUAGGUUUGUAUACAGUUAUUCACGAUUAGUGGGUCACUGAUUACUACAAUGCUCCUUUAUUGUUGAUUCUUCCAUCCCGCUAUUCUUUCUUUUUUUACCAUGCCGUGCUCAUGCAUAGCUAUUGUUUUUCUUUGUCUUGCAAACAAACGAUGAUUUCUGAGGUGAGCUACAUUCUGAUAAACUCAUCAGGCUAUGUCUAUCUGUCAUUCUGCAUGUCGUAGGUUUUAUUCCAAAAGUGAGUCUUUAGAUAUCAUAAGUUUGGUCACAGAACAAUGUCGUGUCAUGCACCACAAUAUUACACGAAAGUGGACUAUUAUCACCCUUGACUGAACAUAUAUAGGUACUAUGGCAUACCUAAGUGUCUGGUAAUUUUAUGGUCAUUAGGGGCCAUCCGUUGUAGUCACCGUGUCUUAGCUGCUUUAUGAUAUCAUUGUGAGCUGUUGUGAUGUCUACUUAGUUGCACAUGGCUUGCCAAUGUGAUCAGUGCAUUGGAUACUAGAGUUCAGACUUAGUGUUUAUUGAAUAUUAAGUAGCACCUAACAAUACCUAAUCCUACCAUGCAAAUGAUGUUGGAAGAAAAUAUCAGUAUACGCCCUCCAGGAGAACCGAUUCGCUAUAGUGGUGCUAAAUCUUUCAUCUACAGUACACUUUCAUACAAAUGCAUGGAGUAGAGAGAUACGUUGGAUGAAUGUGCAGGCAGAUUUCAAAAUUGUACCAUGAAAUGAUAAUGAAAUACUACCAUUACGAAAAUUUGCUUACUUCUAAGCAUAUGCGUUUGUAUGUAGUUUGCUAUGUUGCACUAUCAUCUACUCUGUGAACUUGGUACAAUCUGUGCAAUUUUAUAUGGAGCACAUUGUGCUGAAUGAUCUACCUACUGUUUUGUUGCAAACCAUUGGGCUACCUUACAAAUAUACAACAAUCAAUUAUUUGAAUCAAGUCUAAUCAGAUGUUGCCCUUCCAACAUGCCACUCGAUAGAUCAUCAAAUAUGUAUUCAAAGGAAAAAUGCACGUGCGAGGCGGCCAAAGCUGACCCAUGGUUCACAAUGGAUGGACAGUAGACCAGCUUAGGGGGAGCUAGCUGAAGAUUUCGAGAAGUUUAUGAGCUCUUAUUUCAUAGCUGGAGACUGGAACCAUCUGUAUUGGCAGAUGAACUAGCAAUUUAAUUUGGCCAGUUUGUGCUUGGCAUUCUUUUAUUGUGGUUUAGCAUGACAUUAGAGGAACUAUACUAUUAUUGUGAGUGGUAUACAUUUUUGAAUGAGUAGUUAUAACAUUUUUAUGAUAAUUACUCACGAGCUAGAUAGAUAAUGUUCAAGUUCUAUAUGACUGCAUGUAUAUAUAUUGGAGUAACUUUGCAUAGUUGCAGUGUCCCGUUUGUUUGUGAGUGUGGUAGUUCUGCAUGGCUGCGGCCCUCUCCUUGUGCUAAACGAUUUCUCAAUGUCAAGAGUAAUUUCCUAAUACUCGCCUCACAAGUACAACUUACAACAGAUCAUAUAUUCUUUUUCAACUCAUAACUA